rnacentral:lncRNA from 1 species
GUUCUAUGAUCAUUCUUCUCUCCAAAUAUUUUAUUUGUUGGUUUUAGUUUUCAGGGUUUGAGACAUUGAGUCUACUCGCAACUGAUACGAUUUGCUUAUAGAAACUGAUAUUAUUAUAGAUACUUUAGUGAAUUACAAAAGGAACUGAGGAUUUUGUUAAUGGAGCUCCUCCCACUCCCCCAGAAUUAACCCACAAACCAGAUGAACCUUCCUCAUUUCUCUAAGACAUCUUAUAUAGAUAAAGACUCAUGACAACUCUCUAAACCAACCAUAGUUACUUGACAUUACCCACACCAAACCAUGGUUAAUUUUAUAAGACUUAGCUAUUACUAAUAAGCUCUUAAAGCAUAGAUGUAUCAAUACCCCUGCCUUUGAAAACAACCUUGUCCUCAAGGUUGGAAAGAGAAAACUGUUUAGCCAACCCAGUUUUUUGAGCUCCCAAGGACAUUCAUAAUCUGGCAGCACUUGCACUUCUUCAAUGACUCUUCCUUGCACUGUUCUUAGAUAACCCCUCGCCUCCACACUCAGCUCGAAAUAGACUUGGAGAUGUUCCUUUAACUGUGCCAAUAUUACGUCUCUUUCUUGUAACAGAGUCCCACUCGUCAGAGCGUCUUUAAUUUCUUCAUGUCUAAUAUUCUCUGCAGAAGAGGGCACUGAACUCGGCAAUAAGAUUAUUUGUCUGGGCAUCACAUCGUCAUGUGGGAACAACAGUUUUAGCUCCCAGAGUCUUCCUUGUCCAUAAAGAUUUUGCCAAGCAAGGCUACUCUUUUCUUCCUCCCGUGAAGCAACCGUGAUUAGAUAGACAACCCGAAAACCCAUCCCCAUGAACUGAACUUCUCUUUCUCGACUAAUCGCAGCCAAAUCCAUUUUCUGCAUUGUCUGAAAUUCAAUUGCCCAUCCACUUGUAGUAGUGAAGGUAAAUAAAACUACUUGCAUCUGUUUUGCUGAGACCUCCAUAUCAGCAGGAAUUUCAAGAGAAGAAUCAUCACGAAUCAUGUUUACCUCAUGCAUGAAACCUACACUAAGAAGCAAUGCAACCAACUCCAAGCUAACACCAAGUCCCCCUUCUAUCACUUUCAUGAUCACAUCAAAAAGUUUCCCAAUUCCAAGCAGUGACAACUGAAUCUGUUUGUUAAUGUCAUUGCAAACUUCAUGUCUUGUGGUGGCUAUGGAAAGCUCUUUAUGAAGUGAUGAGGCCCAUAUUCUUUCGGAAUAUGACAUUUCCAUCAACCCUUUGCCUAGAGGAGCUUCUCCUUUUAAAUAUUUACGCAACACACAAGUGUUCCUUUUCCUGUGCUUCUUUCUAAACUUGGCUCUCUUCCCGCUUGUCGUGGACUGCUUCUUAUCGGCUGUCAUCAAUCUAAAUAAUAGUUUUACACAAAUCAGUGCACAGACACAAUUGUUGGGCUUAGCAAGUUUUCUCUCACGUUUCAACCUUGCUCUCUUCUUCACUCUGAGAACCUGCUCAACAAAAGCUCUCUUUUUAUGAAUAGUUAAGAACAUCAUUACCUUCUUCUUGUGUAUAUGUCGAAAUCUGUAUCUCUUUUUGCCAGCCCGAAACCUAUUCUCCUUAACUGCUUCUACUCCCAUUAUCAGCCCAUCCAUGAUCACUCGAUAAGAAUGUUGGUCUUGUUUCUCUAAAACCAAUACAACCCCACUCAUCAUCUUCAUUUUUCUCUUUAGACUUUUCUUUGGAGACCUCAACGAUCCUAGUACAGCAGCCGUAUAAUCAGUGGUCAUGUUCGUCACGACAAGCGUUGGCAAUCCUCUCACUAUCAACGUUUUGUUAAUUCUAAACUUGUGCAUUCUUCGAAACAUAACCAUUUUUUUCCAGUAAUCCAGCAUUACAGUUUUGAACUUGACCUUAUGUGGCUUGGUACAGUCUAUCUUUCUCUCUACCUCCACAUGUUCUCCUUUCCAAGACUUUUUAUGAAACAUCUGGCAGGUAUUGUGAUACUCCUGAUUUCUAGAGAACCUCGCUUUGAUCCUCUUUUCAUGCUUGUUGCUUUUCUGCUUGAAUUUGUGUUUCCUCCACUUGGAACGCUUAUUCUUUACAGUUAUAUAUCCCAAUGAUAGCCUUGUAUACACUAGUCCGUGAAUGUAUUCACAGUACUUGCGACCCUUCCUCUCAAAUUCCAUCAUUGUUCCCUUUCCUCUCUUCUUCUUUAUGAAUAUCGACAUAAACUGUAUAUUGAUCACCUGCUGGUUGUAUAACCACCGAGAGUGCAUACUCUUACAAAAAUUAUAUGUCUUUGACAGCUUCUUCCAUCUCUUCCUCUUCUUGGUGUGUCCUUGUGUGGCUGAGCUUUUUGAAGUUUCUAUGGAUUUAAGUCCGUUGUAUAUCCGUGCUGCACUCCCACAAAAAUUAUGUUUACCAAAUUUGUACUUUGAUCUUUUCGGUUGGGUAAACUUCCUCCUCUUCCUUUCUUUCUUCUUUGUAAACAGCUUCACAAAACCUCUAUCUCCAUCGAUAUUGAAAUGCCUCUCAGGUUCAACAGUCUUGGGAAGUUUUUUCCAUCUCUUCUUCUUCUUCGUCUUCUUCUUCUUCUUCUUAUUAUUUCCCUUGAUAGAAAUUUCAUCGAACACUUGGCAUGCAUCCUUAGUCAUCUCUAGAUCUGUCUGAUUUUUCUCUCCUCGCUGGUGUGUUUCAUCUCUCAUUGUACUAUCAUCCGCAAACACAGUAGUCUCCUUCUCCUCAGCCUUCAGAUUUGGUUUUUCAAAACGCUCACCAGUGUCAAGGAUAUAUUUCUCUAGCCUGUCCAAUCAGCUCGACCAUCUGCUCAUCUUAGAAUCAAAAUCGUCACUCUCCGUUAGAACAGCCACGAUGCUCUCUUUUCCUUUUCUGAAUCGUUGAAGCAGACCGAUCUUGACCUCAUUCCAGCUAGUGAACACAACUUGUGAUUCCUGGAACCACAACAGAGCAACAUCUUCCAUGAAUCCAUAUGCAAAAGAAAUCUUCGUCUCUUCCGAAAAUCCAUGGUCAGUGAAAUAAUCUUCAACCCAUGAAAUCCACAUCUCUGGAUCUUCAUCGCCGUAGAAGAUUGGAACCUCCACAAAACCAUCUUCCCUCGGAUCGUACCGCUCUGAUACCAUGUUUGAUACGAUUUGCUUAUAGAAACUGAUAUUAUUAUAGAUACUUUAGUGAAUUACAAAAGGAACUGAGGAUUUUGUUAAUGGAGCUCCUCCCACUCCCCCAGAAUUAACCCACAAACCAGAUGAACCUUCCUCAUUUCUCUAAGACAUCUUAUAUAGAUAAAGACUCAUGACAACUCUCUAAACCAACCAUAGUUACUUGACAUUACCCACACCAAACCAUGGUUAAUUUAUAAGACUUAGCUAUUACUAAUAAGCUCUUAAAGCAUAGAUGUAUCAGCAACCAGACUCGGGACUACCACAAUAUCUCUGACACAAGGUUUGAGUACCGUGUUUUCCCCAAAAUAUGUAUACAAAAGUUUGAUUCAAUGUCAUAGUUUCUAUACCAAAUCAGAUAAGGUAUAACUGUCUUAGAAUCAGUAUGAAGUCAG